rnacentral:lncRNA from 1 species
UUCAAAUUCCAAUUUCCCUUAAAUUUCUUUAAUUUUUUGCGAACCGAACCCUUAAAAUUUUUAAGAAAUCUUUAAGUUCCGUUCCGUACCCGCUCCUUAUGAAAUUUUAUCCCUUUCAUCAUUCCCACCCACCCCCAAAUUAAUGCACCUUAACCCUAAAUCUACGCCUUAUUUCACCCCACCCAACCCAAUUGUCUGUCUUCCUCGCCUUAUUUCUUCCAAAUCACAAUCUUUUUGUUCAGGCUGUCUAGAUCGUUGACCCACUACUACCAGAUCCCUCAAUGGCGACUUCUUGACAUUUGUAGAAAUUCGAUUUGGUCUUGUGGAAGGAUUGUAAUUUGGGAGGUUAUAGUUGCAUCUGCACGUCAUUUUAGUUGUUUCUGAAAUAAUAGUUCUAGUUGUUGCUCUUGAUCUGAGGAGGUAUGAAAUCAUAUUCUGGUUCUACGAUCGAUGCUUGGAUGGUGUGUUAAAAUGAUUGGUUUUUUCAUGUCAACAUUUUUGGGCCAAAAGUUGGAACUCUUAGAUUUCAUCACAACAACCACAAACUUGCAAGAUGGUUCAAGAUACAGCUCUAGCUUUAUUAAGAAAUGAAUUCAAGAUGUUAAAGUUUUACACAUUUAUUCCUUUAUAAUUGUAGAACUUGUUUAUACUUUAAAGAAAUAUAUACCUUUGUGUUUAUAAAAUUUGUUGGUUUUAUUUG